CCCUCCCACAAAGGCAUGGUUUUGGUUCCCUGUCCUUGAACAGGUAAGAAUUGGAGGCAAAGAAAAGUGGAUUUGGAGAAAUCUGGGGCCAGCUUGCCCCUGCAGGCUUGAGAUCAAUCAUCAUACACAG
ensembl:snoRNA